UUCAACGUUUGAACAGAUUCAAAAUCGCUGGUAGUAGUCAGAAUCAUUAUGAGAUGAUUAUAAGGAAUUAUGAGGGGGAUAUUCAUGCUCAUGACAAGCCUAACGAUGCAUCAUAAUACCUACCCAAUACAUAAAAGCUCCUCUGUGCGGCUUCUUUUCCAGACAGGUUGUAGCACUCAUUACAGUGAGCUGAUGCCUCCACCCUUUAUAUUACUGUAUCACACUACAACAACCCUGGAGGGGAGAAGGUCUGAGUAUCACAGUACUACAACCCUAGAGGGGAGAAGGUCCGAGUAUCACAGUACUACAACCCUAGAGGGGAGAAGGUCCGAGUAUCACAGUACUACAACCCUAGAGGGGAGAAGGUCCGAGUAUCACAGUACUACAACCCUAAAUGGGUGAAGGUCCGAGUAUCACAGUACUACAACCCUAGAGGGGAGAAGGUCCGAGUAUCACAGUACUACAACCCUAAAUGGGUGAAGGUCCGAGUAUCACAGUACUACAACCCUAGAGGGGAGAAGGUCCGAGUAUCACAGUACUACAACCCUAGAGGGGAGAAGGUCCGAGUAUCACAGUACUACAACCCUAAAUGGGUGAAGGUCUGAGUAUCACAGUACUACAACCCUAGAGGGGAGAAGGUCCGAGUAUCACAGUACUACAACCCUAGAGGGGAGAAGGUCCGAGUAUCACAGUACUACAACCCUAGAGGGGAGAAGGUCCGAGUAUCACAGUACUACAACCCUAGAGGGGAGAAGGUCCGAGUAUCACAGUACUACAACCCUAGAGGGGAGAAGGUACGAGUAUCACAGUACUACAACCCUAAAUGGGUGAAGGUUCGAGUAUCACAGUACUACAACCCUAAAUGGGUGAAGGUCCGAGUAUCACAGUACUACAACCGUUGAGGGGAGAAGGUUCGAGUAUCACAGUACUUACAAUCCUAGAGGGGAGAAGGUCCGAGUAUCACAGUACUACAACCCUAGAGGGGAGAAGGUACGAGUAUCACAGUACUACAACCCUGAAUGGGUGAAGGUACGAGUA